rnacentral:piRNA from 1 species
UACAAGAAUUGCUGAAAACUGUCUGAGGGU